ensembl:lncRNA
CAGGCCCAGCCAACCUGGGUUCAUGAAAGGCAGAACCUGCUUGACCAACCUCCUCUCCUUCUAUGAGCAGGUGACCCACCUGGUGGAUGAGGAAAAUGCUGUUUACAUAGUCUACCUAGACUUCAUCACAACCUCUGACACAGUAUUCUCCUGGAGAAGCUGGCAGUCCAUGGCCUGGAAAGGUACACUCUUUCCUGGGCUAAGAACUGGCUGGAAGACUGGGCCCGGAGAAGUGGGGAAUGGAGUUAAAUCCAGCCAGCAACCGGUCACGAGUUGUAUUUCCCAGGAACAGUAUUGGGGUCUGUCCUGUUCCAUAUCUUUUUUGAUUACCUGGAUGAGGAGAUUGAGUAUGCCCCCAGGAAGUUUACAGGUGAUCUGGACAGGCUGGAUAGCUGGGAUGAAGCCAGUGGAUUGAAGUUCAACGAGACCAAGUGCCAGGUCCUUCAGUUCAUCCACAGUAUCCUCAGGUAAUGCUACAGACUUGGGUAGAGUGCAUGGAAGACUGCAUGGAAGAAACAGACCUGGGGGUAUUGGUCAACACCUGGCUAAACAUGAACAAGCAGUGUGCCCAGGUGGCCAACAAGGCCAAGGAUAUCCUGUCUCAUAUCAGAAAUAGUGCUGCCAGCAGGAGCAGGAAGGUGAUGAUCCCCCUGUAUUCAACCCUGUGAAGCUGCACCUCGAGCGUUGUGCACAGUCUUAGCACCUCCUCACCACCAAGCAAGAAAGGCAUAGAGGCACUCAAGCACAACCAUAGAAGGGCAACAAAGCUGAUGAGAGAUUUGAAGCACAAGUCUUAUGAGGAGUGGCUGAGAGAACUGGGAUUGUUUAGCCCGGGCAAAAGGAGGCUCCAGGGAGACCUUAUUGCUCUCUACAGCUACUUGAAACAAGGUUGUGGUGAGGUGGGAGUCAGCCUCUUUUCCCAUGUAGGACUAGAAAGAAUGGCCUCGAGUUGCUUCAGGCAAGGUUCAGGUUGGACGUUAGCAAAACUUCUCCAGAAGUGUGAUCGGGCACUGAAAUGAGUUGAGUCACCAUUUCUGGAGAUGUUCAAGAAACAUUCUGAUGUUGUACCAAGGGACUUGGUUUAAUGGGAAAAUAUUGGUAGUAGGUGAAUUGUUGGAUUGGAUGAUCUUGGAGGUAUUUUCCAACCUGGGUGAAUCUGUGGUUCUAUGAUUUUAUGAUUCUAUGAAAGACAGUUUUACUCACAGGGUCAUGGUGUGAGAGGUAACAUUUCUCAAGGUCCUAUUAUAUGCUAUAAUUUUCAACAUCAUUAAUUUUGCAAAUGAUCUCAGGCUGUGUAUGUCAAUUUCAUGACUUCUGAGGAUAAUAUAAGUGAUAGAAAUUGCCAAAAAAAAAAAAAAAAGGAUGAAUUUUUCUUUAAAAACUACUUAGCUGUUACAAGCUGACAUCUCGUUACUCCUUGAAAAUGAAAUGGCCACGGAUUACUUUCCAUUGUACAGAAUAAAAGUGUCUUGCAGCACAUUUUGGUCAAAGCAUAUCCACACUACUUGCUCUGUGUUGUUUACUGUAUUGACAAAAACAUUUGUGUAUGUAAGUAUUUGAAACAAGCAAAUUCUUCUUUGUUCCUACACAGUUAUAUUUUUCAGCACUGAAAAAAACUAACAGAACAAGAAAAUAAAGUAUAUAGAAUCAUAGAAUCACAGAGGUUGAAAAAGACCCACAGGAUUGUCCAGUCCAUCACUGAUCCAUCCACCCAUCACUGAUGGAUCUCACUAUGAUCAGUUCUAUAUGAUUCCAGGUUACUCUGUUUGAAAUGUUGUCUCUAUCUGAAAAGCUUUAAUGCAAAUAUCUAUGUAUAGAUAAGUCUGUAGAGCAAUAGAUUUUAGGCAAAAGACAGUUGAGAGUAGAUAAAUUAAUCUGGUACAAAACUGAAGACUUCUUGGAUACUGCCCACCAUUUGUAAAUAUUAUCCAUUUGGAUGUCCAUGGAAACAGUAACAUAUGAGAAACAUCCAGAAUUCUACAACUGGUAUUAUUCUUGUGUUUGAAUAAACAUUUCUUUU